rnacentral:rRNA from 1 species
AGGGGCCUGGUACUCGAGUACUUUACACACUCUGAAUGUAAUGGAAUGUCUUUUUGUACAAUGUACAACUAAAAACAACUUUCAACAACGGAUCUCUUGGCUCUCGCAUYGAUGAAGAACGCAGCGAAAUGCGAUAAGUAAUGUGAAUUGCAGAAUUCAGUGAAUCAUCGAAUCUUUGAACGCACCUUGCACCCUUUGGUAUUCCGAAGGGUACACCCGUUUGAGUGUCAUUGUAAUCUCACUACRRCCACUUUAUUGUUGUUUGUAUGUGGACUUGGAYGUUGCCGUGUAACAAACGGCUCGUCUGAAAUGCCUGAGUGUACCCUGCUUUUGCGGCGUAUUCGGUGUGAUAAAUCUUCACCGGAGUYGACUUUCGGGUCGCGCUUGUAUYGUCRGGCYCUAUGCUUCCAACCGUCCUAACAAGACAAUCUYUGACAAUUUGACCUCAAAUCGGGUGGGACUACCCGCUGAACUUAAGCAUAUCAAUAAGCGGAGGAAAAGAAACUAACAAGGAUUCCCCUAGUAACGGCGAGUGAAGAGGGAAAAGCUCAAAUUUUGAAUCUGGUGUCUUUGACUCCCGAGUUGUAAUCUAGAGAAGUGUUUUCCGCGUUGGACCGUGUACAAGUUCCCUGGAACGGGGCGUCAUAGAGGGUGAGAAUCCCGUAUAUGCCACGGACUACCAAUGCUCUGUGAUACACUCUCAACGAGUCGAGUUGUUUGGGAAUGCAGCUCAAAAUGGGUGGUAAAUUCCAUCUAAAGCUAAAUAUUGGCGAGAGACCGAUAGCGAACAAGUACCGUGAGGGAAAGAUGAAAAGCACUUUGGAAAGAGAGUGAAACAGUACGUGAAAUUGUUGAAAGGGAAGCGUUUGAAGUCAGUCACGUCUGUCGGAAUUCAGCCUGGCUUCUGCCUGGUGUACUUUCCGUCCGACGGGUCAGCAUCAAUUUCGACCGAGGGAAAAAGRCGUGAGGAAUGUGGCUGUCUYCGGGCAGUGUUAUAGCCUCGCGUUGUAUGUCUCGGUUGGGAUUGAGGAACGCAGCGCGCC